CCUACGGGCGACAGCAGUGGGGAAUAUUGCACAAUGGGGGAAACCCUGAUGCAGCGACGCCGCGUGAGUGAAGAAGUAAUUCGUUAUGUAAAGCUCUAUCAGCAGGGAAGAAAAUGACGGUACCUGAGUAAGAAGCCCCGGCUAACUACGUGCCAGCAGCCGCGGUAAUACGUAGGGGGCAAGCGGUAUCCGGAUUUACUGGGUGGAAAGGGAGCGUAGACGGCAGUGCAAGUCUGGAGUGAAAGGCGGGGGCUCAAACCCCGGACUGCUCUGGAAACUGUACGGCUGGAGUGCAGGAGAGGUAAGUGGAAUUCCUAGUGUAGCGGUGAAAUGCGUAGAUAUUAGGAGGAACACCAGUGGCGAAGGCGGCUUACUGGACUGUAACUGACGUUGAGGCUCGAAAGCGUGGGGAGCAAACAGGAUUAGAUACCCUAGUAGUC
rnacentral:rRNA from 1 species